UACGUAGGCAGCAAGCGUUGUCCGGAGUUACUGGGCGUAAAGGGUGUGUAGGCGGUCUUCUAAGUCUGGUGUGAAAUCUCCCGGCUCAACUGGGAGGGUGCGCCGAAAACUGGAAGGCUAGAGUGCGGGAUGGGAGAGUGGAAUUCCUGGUGUAGCGGUGAAAUGCGUAGAUAUCAGGAGGAACACCUGUGGUGUAGACGGCUCUCUGGACCGCAACUGACGCUGAGACACGAAAGCGUGGGUAGCAAACAGG
rnacentral:rRNA from 1 species